rnacentral:rRNA from 1 species
UACGUAGGGGGCAAGCGUUGUCCGGAUUUAUUGGGCGUAAAGAGCGUGUAGGCGGCCGUACAGGUCAGCUGUGAAAACUCGAGGCUCAACCUCGAGACGUCGGUUGAAACCGUACGGCUAGAGUCCGGAAGAGGAGAGUGGAAUUCCCGGUGUAGCGGUGAAAUGCGCAGAUAUCGGGAAGAACACCCGUGGCGAAGGCGGCUCUCUGGAACGGUACUGACGCUGAGACGCGAAAGCGUGGGGAGCGAACAGG